rnacentral:rRNA from 1 species
AACGAACGCUGGCGGCAUGCCUAACACAUGCAAGUCGAACGAACCCUUCGGGGUUAGUGGCGCACGGGUGCGUAACGCGUGGGAACCUGCCCUUAGGUUCGGAAUAACAGUUAGAAAUGACUGCUAAUACCGGAUAAUGUCUUCGGACCAAAGAUUUAUCGCCUUUGGAUGGGCCCGCGUAGGAUUAGGUAGUUGGUGGGGUAAAAGCCUACCAAGCCGACGAUCCUUAGCUGGUCUGAGAGGAUGAUCAGCCACACUGGGACUGAGACACGGCCCAGACUCCUACGGGAGGCAGCAGUGGGGAAUAUUGGACAAUGGGCGAAAGCCUGAUCCAGCAAUGCCGCGUGAGUGAUGAAGGCCUUAGGGUUGUAAAGCUCUUUUACCAGGGAUGAUAAUGACAGUACCUGGAGAAUAAGCUCCGGCUAACUCCGUGCCAGCCGCCGCCGUAACAC